AACGUAGGAGGCGAGCGUUAUCCGGAUUUACUGGGCGUAAAGCGCGUGCAGGCGGUUUGGUAAGUCGGACGUUAAACCUCCCGGCUCAACUGGGAGAGGCCGUUCGAAACUACCAGACUUGAGUGCAGUAGAGGGAGAUGGAAUUCCGGGUGUAGCGGUGAAAUGCGUAGAUAUCCGGAGGAACACCAGUGGCGAAGGCGGUCUCCUGGACUGACCCUGACGCUCAGACGCGAAAGCUAGGGGAGCGAACGGGAUUAGACACCCCGGUAGUCCUAGCUGUAAACGAUGCACACUUGGUGUUGGUUGUUUAAACACAAUCAGUGCCGUAGCUAACGCGAUAAGUGUGCCGCCUGGGGAUUACGACCGCAAGGUUAAA
rnacentral:rRNA from 1 species